GAUUAGGGCUACAAAAAUUUCAUUUAACCGUCGCUUUCCACCUUGCUAAUCUCAGCCUUACCAGAGAUUGCAGGCGAUUUUGAUGUGUCUCUUCUUUAUUUAAUCAAAUUCACGAUGAUGUGAUUUAUGGAAGAAAGUUUCACAAGUAGACCCAAAGACAAAAACGAGUUAACAACGUUCAACUGGUAUUGGGUGCAGGGUUUGCUUCUAUCACGUGCUAAGCUUUUGUAGGUACCUCGUUUUCUAAGGAAAUGAGUCGGUUCAAUCGCAGCGCAUCACACUAUGUUUUCCGCACAUGAGAUCUUUGGUACCUCUUCGUCUAAGGGGAAGGAGUCGGUGGCGUAGCAUGGCAUCACACACACAUCUGGUUUUCCGCACGAUGUUUUCUGGGAUUGUACUCUGAUAUGAUAUUUGUUUAUGUUGUGGGUUUCAAACAUGAUACUUGAUUUUAUGAGAUGACGUGUUAUACAAUAUUUUCUAGUGAAUGUUUUAUGAGUUAAUUAAUUAAAAAGGAAAUU